rnacentral:rRNA from 1 species
CUAAUACCGGAUACGAGCUGCGACCGCAUGGUCAGUAGCUGGAAAGAAUUUCGGUCAGGGAUGAGCUCGCGGCCUAUCAGCUUGUUGGUGAGGUAAUGGCUCACCAAGGCGUCGACGGGUAGCCGGCCUGAGAGGGUGACCGGCCACACUGGGACUGAGACACGGCCCAGACUCCUACGGGAGGCAGCAGUGGGGAAUAUUGCACAAUGGGCGAAAGCCUGAUGCAGCAACGCCGCGUGAGGGAUGACGGCCUUCGGGUUGUAAACCUCUUUUAGCAGGGAAGAAGCGAAAGUGACGGUACCUGCAGAAAAAGCGCCGGCUAACUACGUGCCAGCAGCCGCGGUAAUACGUAGGGCGCAAGCGUUAUCCGGAAUUAUUGGGCGUAAAGAGCUCGUAGGCGGUCUGUCGCGUCUGCUGUGAAAACCCGAGGCUCAACCUCGGGCCUGCAGUGGGUACGGGCAGACUAGAGUGCGGUAGGGGAGAUUGGAAUUCCUGGUGUAGCGGUGGAAUGCGCAGAUAUCAGGAGGAACACCGAUGGCGAAGGCAGAUCUCUGGGCCGUAACUGACGCUGAGGAGCGAAAGGGUGGGGAGCAAACAGGCUUAGAUACCCUGGUAGUCCACCCCGUAAACGUUGGGAACUAGUUGUGGGGUCCAUUCCACGGAUUCCGUGACGCAGCU